rnacentral:rRNA from 1 species
AUUGAACGCUGGCGGCAGGCCUAACACAUGCAAGUCGAACGAGUGGCGGACGGGUGAGUAAUGUCUGGGAAACUGCCCGAUGGAGGGGGAUAACUCCUGGAAACGGUCGCUAAUACCGCAUACCAUCUGAUGUGCCACGAUGGUGUUAGCUAGUAGGUUGGGUAAGGGCUCACAUAGGCGACGAUCCCUAGCUGGUCUGAGAGGAUGACCAGCCACACUGGAACUGAGACACGGUCCAGACUCCUACGGUAGGCAGCAGUGGGGAGUAUUGCACAAUGGGCGCAAGCCUGAUGCAGCCAUGCCGCGUGUAUGAAGAAGUCCUUCGGGUUGUAAAGUACUUUCAGCGAGGAGGCGUUACUCGCAGAAGAAGCACCGGCUAACUCCGUGCCAGCAGCCGCGGUAAUAC